rnacentral:rRNA from 1 species
UAGGGAAUCUUCCACAAUGGACGCAAGUCUGAUGGAGCAACGCCGCGUGAGUGAAGAAGGUUUUCGGAUCGUAAAGCUCUGUUGUUGGUGAAGAAGGAUAGAGGCAGUAACUGGUCUUUAUUUGACGGUAAUCAACCAGAAAGUAACGGCUAACUACGUGCCAGCAGCCGCGGUAAUACGUAGGUGGCAAGCGUUGUCCGGAUUUAUUGGGCGUAAAGCGAGCGCAGGCGGAAUGAUAAGUCUGAUGUGAAAGCCCACGGCUCAACCGUGGAACUGCGUCGGAAACUGUCAUUCUUGAGUGCAGAAGAGGAGAGUGGAAUUCCAUGUGUAGCGGUGGAAUGCGUAGAUAUAUGGAAGAACGCCAGUGGCGAAGGCGGCUCUCUGGUCUGCAACUGACACUGAGGCUCGAGAGCAUGGGUAGCGAACAGG